CUCUGGUAAUGCCUGUAUUCAUAUCCCUUGAAGUGCCUGAAUCCAAUUCGAGCUUCAUCGCAAAGAUAACUGAGACUGGUAAUUAUCUUCAUCACAUGAAAUUGCUCAAAAGUGAUCAGGAUGGAGUUGCCUUCGCUUGACUGAAGGAGAAUUUUCUCAAGGAGGCAUGAAAGCUGGACAGUCGGCAAGCCCGGACUUUGGGCCUGGAGUUCGGAGUCCCGUCAUCAGCUAGUCCAAGGGAAAAACCAAUACCAAAGAUUGAAGCUCAAAAGUCGAUUGGAAGUCUGGAAGAUGAUGGCAAAGCUCGGAGACUAGAAACUGGAGAUCCGAAUCGGAUGGCAGAGGGGAAGAAGCUGUUCCUGAAUCACUGAGUGUGUGCCUUCAGGCUUCUGUACCUCCUCCCUGAUAGUAACAGUGAGAAAAAGGCAUGUCCUGGAUGCUGGGAAUCUUUAAUGAUGGAUGCUGCCUUCCUAAGGCACUGCUCCUUGAAGAUGUCUUGGAUAAUGCAGAGGCUGGAACCCAUAACGGUGCUGACUAAUUUUGCAAGUUUCUGCAACUUACUUUGAUCUUGUGCAGUAGCACCCCACCACCCCCCCACUCCCAAACCAGAUGGUAAUGCAACCAAGAUGUACAAAAAAGCUGGAUGAACUCAGCAGGUCGGGCAGCAUCCGUUGAAAGAAGCAGUCAACGUUUCGGGUCAAAACCCUCCGGCAACCAGUUGGAAUGCUCUUCACUGUAUAUUUGUAGAAGUUGUUGAGUGUUUUAGUUGACAAACCAAAUCUCCUCAAACUCCUAAUGAAAUAUAGCCACUGUCUUGCUUUAUUUAUAGCUGCAUCAGUAUGCUGUGGCCAGGUUAGGUCCUCAGUGGUUUUGACACCCAAGAAUGUGAAAUUGUUCACUCUCUCCACUUCUGAUCCAUCAAUGAGGAUUGGUUUGUGUUCCCAUAAGACCAUGAGAUCUAGGAGCAGAAUUAGGCAUUUUGGCCCAUCGAAUCUGCUCGAUGCAUUCAUUUUGAGAGGACUAGAAUUUAAAAGCAGGGAUGUGAUGCCGAGUCUUUGUAAGGCACUGGUGAGACCUCAGUGGCCCUAUAAACAGUGUUGGGCUCCUUAUUUAAGAAAGGAUGUGAUGACAUUGGUGAGGGUUCAAAGGAAGUUCAUGAAAAUGAUUCAGGGAUUGAAAGGCUUAUCAUAUGAGGAGCGUUUGAUGGUUCUGGGCCUCUGCUGACUGGAAUUUGAAAAAAAUGGGGGUAUAGGUAGAUCUCAUUGAAACCUGUCAAGUGUUGAAAGACCUCGAUAAAGUGGAUGUUUCCUGCAGUGGGGAGUCUAAGACCAGAGGACACAUCCUCAGAAUAGAGGAACAUCUGUUUAGAAUGGAGAUGAGAUGAGAAAUUUCUUUAGCCAGAGAGUGAUGAAUCUGUGGAAUUUGUUGCUAAACAGCUGUGGAGGCCAGGUCAUCGAGUGCACUUAAGGCAAAGAUUGAUAGGUUCUUGAUUAGUCAGGGUGAGAGAAGUUGCAGGAAGAAGGCAAGAGAAUAGGGUUGAGCCACAAUGAAAUGGUGGAGCAGACUCCAUGGCCAAAUGACCUAAUUAUGCUCCUAGCUCUUACAGUGUAGACGACCAUUCAAGUAGGAAUUGAGCUUCAGCAGGAAGAGAAUAGACAACUGUCAGUAUCGCAGGAAAAUGAAUCUCAGGGUAUAUAGUGACAUUUACGUACUUUGAUAAUUACUUUGACCUUUGAACUUUGAAUUGUCCAGCCAAGUUAACAAACUUCCAUUCCAAAGACAAGUUGGAGUCACGAAUCAUGCAGCCCAUAAAAAGUCCCUUCAGCCCAUCCAUCACCUGCUUAUAUUAAUUCCAUUCUGUCCUCUCCACAUUACCAUCAUCCCUCCCCACCUUCCCACCCCCCCCCCCCCACAGACUCGACUUUUCACCUACACAUU